ACUCUGCUUUGCUGUUCCUCACAUGUUGUGGUGUUUAGACAGAAAUUAGCAGGAGUUUAGUUGAUAUGGCUUCAACAUCCCAACAGCUACAAUCCCUCCACCGCCACUACCAGAGGCAUCAACAAUGAACUUCAUUGAUAAAACUCCUGAAAGUGCCAGCGAGCAGAAAUAUUCCAUCCAGAAACUAUCACUAUAUAUUGACAAGUUUUUGAAGGUGCUAGAAAUCGAUUUAGGAAGGUUGCAUCAACAUCGACGCAAUAUAGAAAAGUAUUCUCGGCUGGAUGAUCUCUACAGUUUGAACAAAGAACAAGUAAAUGCAGGUCGUACAGUUCAACAGAUUAAAGCAAACAUCAAGGAAUUGGAGAAAGCCCGAAGUAGGAUAAUUGAUGAAGAUCUAUCAAAGUUUGAUGCUAAACUGAAACAUGUGAAAGAAAAGGCACUGACCGCUAUAACAGAAUAUAUAGAUGAUGGCCGGUCAGCUGAGGAAGAAGAAUCUGAUGCUGAAGUCUGUGAUAGCAUUUUGACUUCUAACCUCAUGCAUCAGCGGCGCCGAAGUAAUGAAACUGAUUACAUGUCAGAAGAGUUUGUACCACAUAGUUUACCUGUGGAACUUGAACGGGGAAGCCAUAUAUCUCAACUGCAGGUUUAUAAUGUUCCACAAGAUUCUCAGGCAGCGGAAUCGUGGCAGAAUUUAAAAGAAAAUUUAGUUGAUCUUAACCAAAUGGUGCAUGAUUUUUCAUCAUUAGUAGAGAACCAACAAGAGAAAAUCGACCAAAUUGAAGAAAACCUUGAAACAGCUCACGACAAUAUUCAAGCAGGAGCAAAGAGUCUUUCAAAGAGUGCUAAAAUAAAAACUGCCAUGAUACCUUUAGCUGGAGCAUUAGUAGGUGGUAUUGUUGGUGGACCCAUUGGAUUUGUAGCUUGUGCUAAGCUUGGUGGUGUAGCUGCUGCAAUGGGAGGUGGACUGAUUGGUUUUGUUGGUGGCAAAAUAUUGAAAAGACGGCGUCAAACUGUGGCAGAGAUGGAAAUGAAUAAUCUGAGCAAGAAAGGGUCGGUAUCGCUACCUGAUCUAUCCGCAGUUAAAGAAGAAGCUAAUCUCAAGGCUUAAUUAAUAACUUUGACGAGCUUUUCAUUUCUUACCUCCAAAGCCAAUUACCAUUCCGCAAAACAUUAGGAAGAAUAAAGACAACCUUUGUAUUCCUGAACUAACUUUGGCAUGCUUUCUAAUCACUCAAACCUAAUUCCAAAGACAGGAAUAAAAAGAAAAGGAAACAAAGCAAAACAAAAAUCACACACACACACACACAAAAAAAAAAGCAAAAACAGAAAAUAAACAAAUUAUUUUGAAGCAGAGGGCAAUUAUAAUUUGGAUGUCUAAAACUAAUUUUACCAUUUACUGAAAUGCUAUUUAUUAAAUGGCCAUUUCAGCCAGAAUUAUUCAAUGGUUACUGUAGUCUUUACAUUUGGAAUGUAAAUAUUGCUGUCACUGGAACAUCCAGAUUCCUUUGUUAAAUUUAUACCUUAAUAAUCGCCAUAUGUUUUCUCAAAAGAUACAUGGCAUUAAUGGUCAUUUCCCACCGCCACCACCACCACCACCUCUGUAACUAACCACACUCACACAAACAUGUCUGAUAAGACUUAUAAAAAAAACAAAAAAACAUUUGUAAUUACUUUUAGCCCUUUAGAAUUCAGCUUACUCUGUCUAAUGAUUUAGUCAGAGGACGAAUGGCAGUGCCAAGACCCUUUUACUGGACCUCAGAAACUGGUGGAAGAAAGGGAUAAAGGAAUCCUCAAACAAAGAAUUUGGUCUGAAUUCAUGUAACAGAAUGGAUUCCACUAAAGAUACUCAAGGGCCAGAUUUUGGUGUUGAGCACCACAACCUGGCACAAGAACAAGAACGAGCUCUCCUGUGAGCUUCCACACAGUUUCCAUUUACUAAACUAAUACUCACAGACCUUGGGAUUGUCCUGAGGCUAUGGUAGAAAACGCUUAAGGUGCUGCUGUGCAUUGGGACUGAACUCCAAUACUACAUGAUCGCUUAGCAAAUAACCUUAUUCACUCAGCCAUGCAUUCUCCUCAUGUCAUUAAACACCUUUGUUUCGGAGAAAUACAAACAAAAAAACUAAAAAGGAAAAAAAAAAAAACUAACUAUGAGUGAUCAAUGAUCUUACAUCUUCCAAAUGUGUCCCAAUGCUCAGCCAUUAACUGUCCACUGGUAUUUGUAAAGCUUCAGAAAUGAUAUGUUAUGGUAGAUCUGUGGUGAAAUAAAAUAUAUGGCUUUAUCA
rnacentral:misc_RNA from 1 species